GCCGGUGUGGCGGAAUUGGUAGACGCAGCGGAUUCAAAAUCCGCCGCCCUCACGGGUGUGUCGGUUCGAGUCCGACCACCGGCACCA
rnacentral:tRNA from 1 species